AUUGAACGCUGGCGGCAGGCUUAACACAUGCAAGUCGAGCGGGGUGAUGGUGCUUGCACUAUCACUUAGCGGCGGACGGGUGAGUAAUGCUUAGGAAUCUGCCUAUUAGUGGGGGACAACAUCUCGAAAGGGAUGCUAAUACCGCAUACGUCCUACGGGAGAAAGCAGGGGAUCACUUGUGACCUUGCGCUAAUAGAUGAGCCUAAGUCGGAUUAGCUAGUUGGUGGGGUAAAGGCCUACCAAGGCGACGAUCUGAAGCGGGUCUGAGAGGAUGAUCCGCCACACUGGGACUGAGACACGGCCCAGACUCCUACGGGAGGCAGCAGUGGGGAAUAUUGGACAAUGGGGGGAACCCUGAUCCAGCCAUGCCGCGUGUGUGAAGAAGGCCUUAUGGUUGUAAAGCACUUUAAGCGAGGAGGAGGCUCUUUUGGUUAAUACCCAAGAUGAGCGGACGUUACUCGCAGAAUAAGCACCGGCUAACUCUGUGCCAGCAGCCGCCGCAG
rnacentral:rRNA from 1 species